ACCUUUAAGUAUCUGCAGUGCUCUAUUUUGUUUCAUUCUGCCAGUCCUUCUUAAUAAGCUGUCCUUCUGCCAGUACCUGUCUUAAUAAGCUUUACAAUGCCAGAAGUGGGUGGAGAACUGUAGGAGAGCAGACUUAGAAGAUAAAACACCUGAUCAGCUAAAUAAACAUUAUCGAUUAUGUGCCAAACAUUUUGAGACCUCUAUGAUCUGUAGAACUAUACAUUUUGCAGAGGCAUCAGAAAACUAAAGAAUGAUUGGGUUAUUUUAUUUCUCAAAAUUAAUUGAAGCAGAUACUUGUGAAGUCAUUGGGAGAGUCCUUAUAGGACAGUUCUUCGAGAUAAUGCAAUACCAACAAUAUUUGAUCUUACCAGUCAUUUGAACAACCCACAUAGUAGACACAGAAAACGAAUAAAAGAACUGAGUGAAGAUGAAAUCAGGACACUGAAACAGAAAAAAA
rnacentral:sRNA from 1 species